rnacentral:rRNA from 1 species
UACGUAGGGGGCAAGCGUUGUCCGGAAUCAUUGGGCGUAAAGGGCGCGUAGGCGGCCCGGUAAGUCAAAGGUGAAAUUCCUCGGCUCAACUGAGGAACUGCCUUUGAAACUGUCGGGCUUGAGGCCGGGAGGGGGUAGCGGAAUUCCCAGUGUAGCGGUGAAAUGCGUAGAUAUUGGGAGGAACACCAGUGGCGAAGGCGGCUACCUGGACCGGUCCUGACGCUGAGGCGCGAAAGCGUGGGUAGCAAACAGG